rnacentral:lncRNA from 1 species
AGGUGUAAGUGAGAUUAAUAUAUAUAUUGGAAACUCAAAUAAAAAAGCAAGCAAGAAAAAAUGAGAGAUAUUGUAUUAUCAUAUUUAUUAUAUACAAAUAUUUAUUAUUUAUUAGCAUUAAUCAUUACUAGUAAGAUUGUUUAGGAAAUAACCAAUAUAUUCAAUGAUCUUAAUAAAUAAUAAUAAUAAUAAAUUCAGUAUUAUGGUCCCUAUAUAAAAAUAAAGAAAAAAAUUGAGGCCCUAAGCCACUGCCUAGUUGCUAUUUUUCUUACCCUAAAUGAAUAAAGGUAGCAUUAUUUGCAUUAAUAACAUAUGCGUAACAACAUUAUGAUGUAAAACUAAAAUGAUACACUUAAAAAAAAUUCUCAACAUUGUCAUACUUACGCACAUUCACAAUAAUUCAAUACGCAUCGCCUUCCUCGUGGAGGGAAGCACAUGCCUUCCGGACAAUCUUUGUAUGAUACACAAGGAAUGAAAGCUGAGAUGUCAAACGAAAUCAAAAACUAUAUUAUAUUUAAAUUAUUUGUUAAAAAAAGUAUAAAUCUUGUCAAAAAAAUAUAUUAUUUAUAAUAAUAAAUAUCAUAUAUUGAAUAUAAAAAAAUGAAAAUAGUGUGAAAAAUAACUUACAUCCUAUAGGUUCACGUUUUUCUGUAAAAAUAAAAGAAGUUUUAUUAAAAGAUGAUGAAAUAUUGUGCUUAAAAAAUAAAAAAUGAAAUUUAAAUGCAGUCAAGAAUUGACUUACUACUAGUUACAAUAAUAAGUAGAGAAAGAAAAAUGAUCAAAAUAUAAAAGAAUUUGAGAAUUUGAGCCAUAUUUUUCCUGCGUAUAACUAAAAGAAAAUUGUUUUAUAACUUUUUAGAUUAAAAACUCCGUGUUUUGUUGGUUUUAAAUAUAUCAAUUAUCACAUAAGAGUUGCAAGAAACCAUUUUAAAAAUGGAUUUUUUUUUGCUAAAUGUCUCUAUGGUACAUCCAUAUGUUGUGUUUAUCUUUUUAAAUUGGUAAUUUUUCAAUUUAACUUUUAAUAUAUUUUUUCUAUUUAACCUUUCAUGAUAGUCAAGGAAAUAAAAUCUCUCAACAAAAGAAUACUGAUGAAUGAUUUAAUAAAUUCAUUAUUGAAAUAAUGAGUCAAGGAUGUGACAAGACAUAUAUUUUAAAUUAGAAGUACGAUAUCAUAAGUUUUUGAAAAAAAUUAUGGCCAAAGUUAGUAUUGAAAGUGCAAGAAAAUGUGUUUGAAUUUUUUUGAAAUUAGAAUUGUUUUACACAUUAUUUAUAAAAUAUUUCCCUUUUUAAUGAAAAAAUACAUAUAUCACGAAUGUAGUGAUUUGAUCCUCAUGAACUGACAUUUUGCCAGGAUUAGUGAUAACAACUAUUUGAGCUACAUUGAUUCAGGCAUUACAUGUAGCAAGUUCUUAAUGAUAUUUAUUCAAUUGAGUUUUUUUGACAUACAAUAAGGUUUUUAUCUCAUAAAUGUCAAUUUGUUCAAUCUUACCAUAAACCAUCAUGAUAAAUGAAUUGUACUAUUCUGGACAUCCUUGAAGUAUCAAGUCAAUUUGAUCACGUUCAAAGAUUGGUUUUUUAAUGGUCAUAAGUGAAUCAACAAUAGCAUGAAUGUGAACAACACAUUCUGAGAUUGAGCUGGUACCCCUAUUGCCCAUCUUUUACUCUGCUUGGAGCUGAUGAACAUGUGCCUUCAUCUUAGAGUUAAAAUAUUUCUGCACCUUAUUCCAUGCCUCGUAUACAUGCUUGCAUGCGAGUACCCUAGGUGUCACGGUCUCCGAAAUCGUUGACAACAAUCAUGUGAACAAAAUUUGAUGUUGCACUAUUUAAGAUUCAUAACCCUCAGGCACGAUGUUCGCAAUCCAAUCAUUUUAAGUUUUGAAUAUUUGUGGAAUUUUAGGGUUUACAACUACUUUAUGAUAUUUGUGUGAAAGUAUCACAUCCUUAACUUGUCGAUUCCACAAUUAAAAGUUGUUAUCUUGCAAUUUAAUUAAAUUUUUUUGAGCAAAUCUAUUAGUCGUACUUGUGAACGCCAUUAACUUUGAGGUAACAUACGAAGCUUGCACUUGAUGUUGCGCGCCUUGUGGUGAAUUUUUGCAAAAUCCGCCUUUGAUGAUUCCCUGAACUGCAACGAGGAUGGAACACUAGGCAAGCUAGAAGCUUCUUUGAAGCUUGAAGGAUUUCAUACUUAAUGUUGAGAUUGCCAAUGAUGGUGAACUCGACUUUUUUGAAACUGAAAUCUUCUAUUGUUGACAACGAAGAAGAAAAUGAUGAUGCAACGGAAAAUCACGACCCCCUUAAAAAUUUGAUAUCAUGUUUAAUGAAUAAGAAUGAAUGACAUUAUGAGAGGUUGCAUUCAAGUUGAAGAGAAGAUAAGAGAGAAAGAUGUUCUUACUUGUAUGUGAUAUUUCUCAUUAUAUUGAGUGAAACUUUAGCUUUCACUUAUAUACAAAAAUAAUAAACUUCAUAAAAGUUAAUUACACUAAUGAAAAUAACCAUAACUAACUCUUAAUCCCUCUAAGUAACUUCUAUUCUCUAAUAUAUCAAUACUAUUUAAAAAAUAAUAUUAAAUUAGAUGAAAGACAAAGAGAUAAGAAUAAAACAAUCACACAAUUUUUUGUUUUCAUUUUUUUUAAAGUUUCUUUAAAUAGUACAUAUAGUUCCCUUAAAUUGAACAAUUUACCUAAAUAUACUACAAGUUUUUGUUCAAUCCCGAGUACAAUAAAAAUCAACUAGAGUAUCUCGAGUCAAACCUUUGGCUAUAUAAUUGUUGAAAAUUACUUAAACACCUUCAAGCUGUCUAAGAAAAUAUUAUUCAUUUAAAAUUCUUAAAAAUAUUAAAUUUUGUUUGAUUCAGCUUAGCACCAUUAAAAAUUCAUAAAAUUAAAAGUUAAUUUAAAAUUAAGUGAAAUUGAUUAGAAAAGAAAACAUACAUCUCCAAGGCAUGCAUCUUGCACAAACGGAAGACAAGGAGAAGAGAUGUUAACACGAAAAGGUUUAAAAUAGAAGGAGAGACGGCAAUCUCAUAAGAUUUUAAAUUAAAAUUUGACCAAGUAAAUUAAACCUUGUUGAUGUUUUUUUUACAUAAAAAACUGAGAGUACUAAUGAAUUUCAUUUUAUUACACUAUAUAUUCAUUUUUUGUAUUAGUGACAAAAUAACUAUAAAUAACACAUUAUAUCAUAAAUCUCUCACCUCACUCAACAACUAACUAAGGUAAAAAGCUGGAUGCAACACUUUUUUAAUAAAAAAAUUACAAUCUAUUUUCUCACUGUGAAAUCCAGAGGGAAAAACUAAUUAAGGGGUACCCUUCAAAUCUCAACGAUUUUAAUUUAUAUUUUAUUUUUUUAUUAAUUGUGUCAUUCUUUUUUAUUUUAUUUUUUAUUAAAUAUCAAGUAAUCUAUUCUUUCGGUAACAUUACUAAAUUUUUCUUAUAAAAAUAUUUGUUCAUUUUGUGUUGUCCUAACUUAGCUCAUUUAUUAUCGCUUAUUGCAAACAUUAUUCUCUUAAAUGGACUGCAAAAUAGAAAAAUAUUUAAAGCUUCUUAUUUAAUUAAGAAAAAUUUCAAGAAUGUGUUGUUGUUGUUUAUCAACCCUGAUCAAAAUAUUUUUCUGCUCUUACAAAUUAUCUCAUAGAAUGACUUUGUUGGUGUUGAUUUCACAUUUUGCAAUAAUUUUUUAUAUUUGAGAAUAAUUUCACAAUGUUGUUACCAAAUACAAAAAGUCAAUGAUUUAAUCAUAUUUAGAAAGAUUGCAACCUUAAAAAUAACCAAAUACCUUAAAGUUCAUCACCAUUUUUUUUUUGGUGUUGCAAUAAGAGUAAACUAUUCCCUCAUGCGGACUGAAAUCCGAGCAAAAAAGUCAUUACUUUAUUUUAUUAUUUAUUUUAUUUUUUAAUUAAAAAAGAAAUGACUUAUUACCUCGAUUUUCAUAAAUACCUAGGAGAAUAAAUUGACACGGUUUUGAUUAUAAACGAAAUUUUGAUGUCCAUGUUUUGAUAAUCAACCCUUCAAUCCAAUAGAAACUUUUGUGAUCUAUGUGAAACCCUCACGAUAGCAAAUCAGGACGCAAAUUCCCCAAAUAUAUAUCUCGAAUACUACAUGAUGUAUCAUAUAUAUUUAUAAUGAAACCAUUAAGAUUGAAAAAAUGGAAACUCAAAGAAGGGUUGAAACACUUUUUUUACGGACUACGAGUGCAGAAAAAGUCUUGAUUCAAUGUCGGUUUUUCUUACAUAAUGUUUUGUCUUGUAACAUGAUAUAUUAUUUUCCUUAUUUAACCUUUAUAAUUUUUUUACCAUAAACAAAUGCAUGCAAAACCAUUUAAAAUAUCUUGCAUGGUUACAUAGAUAUGCAAUAAAAUAUGCAUUUGAUCUGCACCAAAAGUCAAAAGGAUUAUGAUGCAGAGACCUUUUUCAACCAUCUUGUAUUUGCAUAUUGAAAUGAAAAUAAUAAAAACUUAACAAAAUUAAGUUAAAAAAAAGGAUAUAUAUAUAUAUAUAUAUAUAUAGUAUUAUAUAUAUAUAUAUAGUAUAUAUCUACCUGUGUAAUUUUCAAUAGUUUAAUUGAUUUAACGGUUGAACUAUAAAAAAAGAGAAAAGACAAUUAGAGGAGAGAGAAUCUUAUAUUUUUCUUUAUCUUUUUUAAAAAAAUCAAAAUUUCUUCCCAUUUCUAAUGUGAAACCUCCAAUAACUUAUAGGCAUCAAGGUAAAGAAAAAAAUAAGUAGAUCAAAUGAUUUGUCAUUCUCUUGUUCUAUACAACACCACCACUUUUCUUACAAAGAAAAAAUAUUUUCUUUUUCAAUUUUCAAUUACAACACCACACCACCAUUUCUCGGUUGCCUCUGUCAAAUUCAAAUCUCUUGCAUAUUACGAUGCUAGUGAUUAUAAAGAUUCUUGUGAUGAUGAUUACAAAAAACAGUUCUCUGUCAAUAUCAAUGAUCAUAAAGAUUUGUUUGAUGUUGAUAAAGGUUAUUAGGAAUAGGGUAGAAUAACUUAGAGAUAUUAGAUUUGUUCAUAACCUUAUGAUUUCUAUUGAUAUAGAAAUCAAGAACAUAACUCUAAAUUAAUACCUAUGAGUCCAAUAUGCCAUCGAUUCACAUCCCUUAAAUCUAUACCAGAAUUCAACCAGAGAAUGAAAGUGGAAGUGUACCUGAGUUUGUCAUUAAAAUCAAUGAAGGUUUGCAGGUAUGUGAUCUUUUGAUUUGUAGAGUUCCUUAGGGUUCCUUGAAUCUCUUUUGAUGGGGAUGAAGAGAGACUACUAAUGUAUUGUGUUUUUCUAUAUGCUCUAUAAAUGGAGACUAUAAUCCACAUAUAUAACCAUAUGGUUAUUUCUUAGUUUUCAAUAUUCUAAUUUCCCCCAUCACCAAAUUAGAUAUUGACUUAUGCAUCUACACAAUAACCUUUCAUGACAGGUAUGCCCUUAGCCAUAUAUUUAAAAUUAAUUAGAUACUUUAAUAUUUAAAUAUUAGCCCUAACACAUGUAAUAUUACACUUGUGAUCCAAGACUCUAACAAUCUCCCACUGGUCACGUAUGUAACGUUGCACACUGACAUCUAAUUUUACCAUUAUAUACUUCAAGCAUAUCCAAAUUAUCUCAUCCAUUAGUCAUACCAGUAUACAUAAUCAAAGUGAUUUUUGUUAUAUUGAUCAUAACUAAAACCCAUAAGUGAAUACCAAUAGUGACAUAACUAAAUGAUAUAGGUUCAUCUUGAAAUGUUUAGGAUGAAAAUCACAUGAAGUUUGUUUGUACAUAUCAAUUUUACAAUGGUCUUACUUUACUUUAGCGAGGUCAUUCAAUAACCUUAUUGUACAAAGUAUAAAUAGUUGAAUACCAAAUUUCAUAAACUAAAAUAUUCAAAAAUCAUAGUAUGCAUACAUAAUAUCAAACAUAGAACAUAAAAUUCAUAAAUGACUAACACCCACAAAACUAAAGAUUCCUCUAACUGUAAAACACUUAUGUGAGCAAUGUGAUCAUGAAAGACCUUGAGUGGAAGACCUUUUGUAAGAGGAUCUUCUAUUAUGGAGUUUGUCCUUAAGUGCUCUAUGAAAAUAUGUCCAUUUUGCAUCAUUUCUUUAACAACUAGGAACUUGAUGUCAAUAUAUUUUAACUUAAUCGAGCUCCAAUUAUUUUUGGAGUAUAGGACGGUUGAUCUAUUGUCGUGGUAUAACUUAAGUGGUCUUUCCAUUCCGUCCAUAAUUUACAGCUCAAUGACAAGGUUCCUCAAUCAAAUCCCAUAGUUGGAUGCCAGAAAACAUGCUAUAAAUUCCGCUGCCAUGGUGGAUGAAGUUGUAAGAGUUUGCUUGACACUACGCCAAGAAACUGCUCCACCGUCCAACAUGUAGAUAUAGCUUGAAGUGGAUAUUUUACUAUCUUGGCAUCCAGCAAAAUCUUAGUCAUAUUAUCCAAUGAUUUCUAACUGAUCUGACAUCCUAUAUGUGAGCAUAUAAUCUUUUGUUAUCUUUAAAUAUCUCAUAAACGUUUUGGCUACUUUCCAAUUAUCCAUUCAUGAAUUUCUCAAAUAUCUUCCUAACACCCUAACUAUGAAUGCAAUAUCCAGAUGCGUACAGACAUGGGCAUACAUCAGACUCUCUACAGCCGACGCGUAAGGAAUCUUUUACAUUACUUAAGAUUCUAAGUUUCCUUUUGGACACUGAUUGAGACUAAAUUUGUCUCCCUUAGCAAUUAGAGUAUCCCCUAGUUUAUACUCUUGCAUGUCAAACCUUUUAAGUGCCUUUUCGAUAUAGCUUCUUUAUGAUAAUCUUAGAAUACCUCGAGAUCGAUCUCAUUGUAUCUGAAUUCCUAAUACAAAAGAGGUGUCACCAAUAUCUUUCAUUUAAAUUUUUCUUGAUAGAAAUUUAUUGGCUUCGUGCAUCAUGCCUAUAUCAUUUGUGACAAGCAGUAUAUCAUCAAUAUACAAGACCAGAAAAAUAUACUUCCUCCCACUGAAUUUGUGAUACACACAAUCUUCAACAACAUUCACCACAAAACCAAGUGAGAGAAUUACUUCAUGAAACUUUUGGUACCAAUGACAAGACACUUGCUUUAGUCCAUAAAUGGGUUUUUCCAAUUUGCAAACCAUAUUCUUUGAGUCUCCUGACACAAAUUUUUCUGGUUGCAUCAUAUAUACUAUUUGAUUAACGUUGCCGUUGAGAAAUGUCGUCUUAACAUCCAUUUUAUGGAUUUACAAAUCAUAAUAUGCAACAAGAGUCAUGAUUGUCCUAAAAGAGUCUUUUAAUGAAACCUAAGAGAAAGUAUCUUUACAUUCAAUCCUUUCCUUUUAGGUAUAACCCAUAGCCGCAAGACGAGCCAUGUACCUCUCCAUAUUGUCGAUACAAUCCCACUUGGUCUUAAAAUCCAUUUGGAACCAAUGGGUUUCACACCUUCUGGUAACGAGAUAAGUUCCCAAACCUUAUUAUCUUGCAUGGACGUAUACUCCCCCUACAUUGCUUCAAUCCACUUUUCUGAUUUGGAAUCCUGCAUGCCUUGGAGGAAGUUGAUUGGAUCAUCUUCCAUCAUACCUAUUUUUCUCAUGUUCUUGGAGAAAGACUAUGUAGUCACCCGAAAUAUCAUUUAUCCUUUCUCUAUGGAUCUCCGUAAAGGUUGUCAACGCAGGUUACACAUUAUCAGAACCUUCUUUCAAACACUACCGUGAAGAAAUAAGAUUGUCAAACACAGAUGCAGUACAGUGGAUCGACAGUAUUCCAUUGGAGAAGUGGACUAGGGCAUACGACAAUGGUCAAUAUUGGGGUCACAUGACAACAAAUCUUGUGGAACCAAUAAACUCUGUCUUCAAAGGCAUCUGUAACCUACCUAUAACCGCUUUGUUGUAGGCAACAUAUUUCAUGCUAGGGGCUUUGUUUGAGACCUGAUGUUCCAAAUGGAGUUCAGUGUUGCAAUCUGAGCAAGUUUUUAGUGAUGCUUCAAUGAAAUUCAUUAGACAUGAAGCUGCCAAAGCAAACACACAUGUGGACACGGUGUUUGACCGCACUAAAGGUUGGUAUAGUGUUGUCGAGUCCAUGGAUCAUAAUGAGGGCAUGCCGAUGGGAUAGUAUAGAGUCGAAUUAGGUAGAGGUUGGUGCAUGCCGAUGGGAUAGUACAGAGUCGAACUAGGUAGAGGUUGGUGCGACUGUGGAAAGUUCCAAGCCACUACAAAAAAUAUGUAAAUUGUGGCGGUUUAAUUAUGGAGUUUAGAUGAAACCGCCACAAUUUACGGUUGAUUAUGACGGUUUUUUUAACCGACCUAAUAUUUAUAAAUAAAUGGCGGUUUUAAAGGCCAUUAUUUUCUUAAUUAUUUUUAUAUUCACGUUUCCAAGCGCAUUUUUCCCCUCUUCCAUUUUUUAUAAUAAAAAAAUAACUCAUUUUUUCCCACUUUCUUUUUUUUAAUAUUCUCAUUUUCUUAUUUAUAUAAGAACUUUUUUUAAUCAAUAUUAAAUAAAAACAUUAAUUUAAUUCAUUAUAAAUUAAAUUAAAGAAAAAACCCUAAAGUUUGUUUCAGAUCCUUCGUCUCCAAAGAAACCAAAAACCUUUUCUUCUUCCUUUCUAACAUUCGUCUUCCUUCCCAUCUUUUUUAUUUCAACUUUUCUUGUUUCCUUUCAAAAUCACUCAAGCUCUAGCCCUAAAAAUAAUUUGAAAUUCAAAUCAUAUUUAUUGGACAUCGGUAUCAAUAUCGAACCCUAACAAUCAACCCUAUCGCUUGAGCCUGCGUUUUUGUUUCAUUCAAUAGUGUCAUACCCCAAUUUUGACCCUGAAUCGCCGAUUCAAUACAUUCAUCAUAGCUAUUGCAUGUCUACAUAGCAUACCAUGCAUUCCAUACUGCAUAGUGCCUAAAAUAUCAGUGGAAAUAACUUUUUCGGAUCUACAGGAAAACCGGUUGAAUUAAUCAACGGAUGUGCGUCAAAUCAGUGAACGAAAAAUUUUAAAAUCAAGCUUCUAGACAUCAAUUUUAUUAAUCUACGUUUCGCGUAGUUUAAUCCGGUAUGCUCGAUUUAUUUUUCAGCUAAGUUUUCGGCCACCUUUUUGAUUCAGCUCAAGCCUGUAGUAACCGAUCAAAAUUUAUUUUCAAAGUUAAAAAGAAACGCUGUAUUUUCCAAUAAGUUUUAUUUUGCACUGAUCAUUUUGGUGCAUUCAUUUAUUUUUCGGGCACUUUUGCGUCCAACUUUUUUUAUUUUGAGUCCUGUUUGUUAGACUACUGGCACGGAUGAUCUAGAAGGGGGGUUGAAUAGAUCCAAUUAAAACUUGAGUCGGCGCUACCAAUUUAAAAUUGGUUUUGAAAAAUUGUUUUAAGUGCGGAAGCGGCCGAGGAAAAAUGUUAGUCUAAAACGAACCGUUAUUGGAAAACCGGAUAUGCGUUAAGCUAAUGGAUUAAAUAUAACGUGAAAUACAAACUGUACACUAUUUGCACAAUAAUGAUAUAUUUCACUUACUAGCAAAGCUUAGUUCCAAUGAUCCAAAAUACAAUUAAACUAGAUGCAAAUUAAGACAACUUUGGCUUAUGCAAAUUUACAAACACUUGUGUGGCAUAAACACUCCAAGUGAUAUUUGAGUUGAGUAAGUAAUUCAAAUUGACCUAGUACAAUAUACUAUUGUACUUGUUAUUCAAACAGGAGUUUUAAUCUCUUACUCAAUUUAUAUCAAUGUUUGGUAAAAUUACUUAAACUAAAAUCACUUAAUUUUAAGCUGAAAAACGAUUAUGCAGAAAAUUAAAGAAGACAGAGAUUUGAUGAGGCAGUUCCCCCGCCGUCCUCGCUUCGGGGUACGUCUGCCCUCAUUCUAAACUUAGAAUUGAGAUGAUUUAAUUAGAUAUCACCUGUGAAAUUUAACCGUUUAUACAAGGAUUGCAAAGCAAGUAAACAACAGAACUCCCAAUGUGUGAAUGAUGCUUCCUAUCCUUGCUCCUUGAUUCAAGAUGAAUCAAGACCUUCGAUCGUUGUUGCUAGACCUCCGAUUCCAGCCCUUGCUGAAGAAUCUUCCAUUCUUCAAACCCUCGGCCCCGGCUGAUCUCAAAACAACGAAUCGAACCCGAAUCCUUCACUUCAAUAUCACCGAAUCCGCUACUAGACUGAAGAAGACUUCCUCUUCUCAAUCACCUUCGCUCAGCUGAUAUUUGAUGAAGCAAUUCGUCCAAAAACCCCCAAACUCAAACCGGUAUUGGAGGACAAAACCCUAACGGUUUAUUCAAGAAAGAACCUGCCACAAGCUUCAACCCGAACCGGAUUCUCCGAUCACAGCUUUGAACCUUAUCACCUAUAAUCGAUCACGAACAUGUCAAAAUGAUUGUGUGUAGUUGAUGUGUUGUGAAUGUUGAAGAUGAAGAUGAUGAAUCUUGGACACCUUUUUCAACUCUUUUCUGUGUUCCUUGAACACUUGAAUUCAAUUUGCAAAUGUUAGUUGAAAAAAGUGAUUUUACUUCUAUUUAUAGUAACAACUUACCAACCAAAAUAACAGCUUUUUCAAACAGUGGAAAAUACUCAGAAACUGAGUUUACGCCGAGCGGUCGACCAUAGGUCGGCGUGUGCUGACCCGUGGGAAAAUGAAAGUUUCAUGCGCCGACCCUAUGGUCGACUCAAGUCUUCCAUGCGCUGACCCGUGGCCAACUGCACUAUGCCAUGCACCGACCUGUGGUCGACUCAAAGCCAUCAUGCGCUGACCAGUCACCACUGGUCUGUGUUAUGCGCUGACCCGUGGCUCAUGCGCUGACCCGUGCGUCGACUCAAAGCUUCCAUGCGCUGACCUGUGGUCGACUCAAAGCAUCAUGCGCUGACCCGUGGUUCAUGUGCUGACCAGUAUGGUCGACUCAAAACCUGCACAUCUGCACAAUUUUAUAUUUUUGUGAUUUUCAUGCAUUUUGUCAUGAUCACAUCUUGUCCACAUAUGUUUUUAAGAAUUAUAACAGAUUUAGAUAAUCAUAGGAAAGGAUACGAUAGGUGAUGUGUUGCAUUUGUUUGUAGACGUGGAAUCGACAAUGCCGAUUCAUCUAUGAUGGUCAUUUGUCAUCAUCGAAACUUGUGAUUGUAUGUUGUUGACAAUUUGCCCUUACAUGUUAUUUUUAUUCUUUUGCCAAAAAAUAAAAAAAAUUAAAAGGUAUAUACGCUCUCAUUUUAAUUUCAUCAUGUUAUAUAAAAAAUGUGAAAUUUAUUUAAAUUAAUUAAUUUAAAUUGAUUAAAGCUUCAAUAGGGAUAUUCUAGGCAUUUUUAAUUGGUUAACAAUGUUGUGAUUCUUUGGUCCAAUCGUAGCCUUUAAUUCAAAUUAAUCAGUGAUCCCAAUUGGAAAACACAUGGAUCCCUAUCCUCAAUUAUCCUUCUCAACCAAUGACCUUUGACACAUCACCAAAAACAAAAGCUAAAGAAGCACACAUGAUAGAAUACCCUUUUGGACCAAAACGCCUCUCUCAACGUCUCUUUUUACCCUCUCUCUCUCUCUCACUCUCUAAAAAAAAAGAUAAAAACAAAAAUCUAUUCUUCUUCCUGGACGCCACUCACCCACACAAUAUAUCGGAUCUCUCUCCUCACAUUGGAGGGGGCCCUCGGUGGAAAUAAAAAGGAAAUCCCUUUCUCUCUCACAAGAAACCACGAAUCCUCUCUCUUCACUCUCCAGCUUCCUCUUCCACACACCAACCACAACCUACAAUCCCUUCUCUUCUCACCGUAUCCGCCGCCACUCCCUCACGAAACCUCAUCUUCUCCUAACCACAAACGAUGACAACCCUAUUCCACCGUCAAAUCCACCAUCACUAGAACCACCACCAGAUCCAUAACCCAACGAAUCGCCUUCAUCUUCCUCGCCACCAAUCGUCUUCAUCGUCUCUUUCACCACCCAACCAUUCACAGCGAAAAACCCUAAACCACCAUUUCCUCUUCCGCCUCACCAACACAACCACCAAACCUCCAUCAUCAACCAGACGUGAUACCACCACCAUGACAUCCCUCACCCAACACUUCCAUCCUCGCCGCUCAAGAAGCCUUCAAGGGUUUUAACCUCGAAGACGAACUCUAACGACCAACUCAGCCACGUUCCUGUUGCCGUCAGCAAAGACGAACUCGACAUUUCCGAACUUGGUUUUCCUUGCACCAACUAGGGAGUUAGCAAAUCAGGUAGAGAAGGAGAUACAAGAAUCUGCGCCUUAUCUAAACACUGUUUGUGUUUACGAUGGGGUUUUCUUAUGAUAUUCAGAAAAUUGCGCUUUCACGUGGUGUUGACGUUGUGGUUGGAACACCUGGGUGACUAAUUGACUUGUUAAAUGGGAAAAGCCUUAAACUUAGUAAAAUUCAGUACUUGGUACUUGAUGAAGCCUAUCAGAUGCUAACUAUGGGUUGCAAGAGUGGAAUUUGCAUAUGGUCUGCUUCAUAUCCUGGAAACGCAGCAUUUGCUAGAUCUGGAACCAUAUCCUUUAUAAGAAAUCUAUCGAGAGGCUCUGGAAUUCGGUAUCUCCUGGUUGCUUUUCAUCUGCUUCUGUUCUGUUUCUCUACAAACAACCAAUUUUUUUUCUCCUUUGAGUCAAGAUGGCCAUGACAAAAUCAGCUAUUGGUUUUGAAGGAUACGAAAAGAGCUUGAGAUAACAUUAUUUUUGAGAAGGGAAUUUUUCUCUGAUCCUGCUGGGUUAGGUCUCCGGAGCUUUGUCUAAAAACCAAUUGGAUGAAAUUCUGAACCAGCAUAGUGAACUAUUGUUGACUCACUGUCUAAUGAUUAUGUUGAUUCAUAUGUUCUUUCUGAAUUCAAGCGUGUUUGUGUAUGCUUGCAAACUGAUCAUUAAAACCUGUGGGACUACGAAGUUGUUUCUGUCUAUCCCUGCAAUUCUUAAGCUUGCUGGUGGUCUUAACAUUGCUGUGAAAUCGGUUAGAUAUACUCGUGGUAGCUUCAUCUUUCCCGGUGCUCAAUCAUUCCCUCAUCGAAGCUUUUCUGAGGAAGUUGAUGUUCUUAACAGCUAUUUUGGCAAACUUGGUUCUGGUAGCCAAGCUUAUAUGAUGGGUGAUGCCGAUAAGUCACAAAUUUGGCACAUUUACUCUGCCAGUGCUAAACUAGAAGCUUCACCGGAAGCUGCCCAUGGCCUUGAAAUGUGCAUGACUGGUUUAGAAAAGAAAAAGGCAUAUGUGUUUUUAAGACAAGCACAUCUUCAGCAGCUUUGAUGACCAAGAAUUCUGGAAUCCGGAAGAUCAUUCCAAAAUCUGACAUAUGUGACUUUGAAUUUGAUCCAUGUGGGUAUUCGAUGAAUGGAAUUGAAGGGAAUGCAAUAUCAACUAUCCACACACCUGAAGAUGGAUUCAGUUAUGCUAGCUUUGAAGUUGUGGGUUAUGAGUAAAGAGAAAUCUCUGAAUGAAGUUGGUUGAAAGGGUUUUAGCAUGUUUCUAUCUAGCUGAGUUUUCUAUUGCUUUGCACAUCGAUAUGAAUGGUGAAAAACUUGAUAAAUUUCCUCUAGACGUUAAAGGAUACUACUGAAAAAAGGACCAUUGGAAUCUAGCAUUCCGGUGGGAACCUUCGAACGGGUUCCGAGCCACGCGUUUUGGGUUAACCGUUCUAUUUUUCUUUCGUACCUAAAACAAUUUAAUUAACUUGGACAAGAAAAGGACCAUUGGAAUAUAGCAUUUCAGUGUAACCCUGGAACAAUUGAGUCCAAAGUGCAUGUCUUGUUCUUAUUGAGUUUUCAUUUUUUUAAACCAUUUCAAUUUCAAUUUAAAUCAUGUCUAAAUUCAAUUCAUUUUAAAACCAUUUCAAUUUCAAUUUAAAUCAUGUCUAAAUUCAAUUCAUUUUAAGCCAUUUUCGAUUUCAAUUUAAAUCAUGUCUCAAUUUAUAUGAAUCAAACCUCGACCAAACAUGGUGACUUUUCUCGAUCAAAUGCAAAUAUUGAAAAUCUUUUUUUAACAAACUCGAAAGAAGAGGACCAUUCGAAUCUUGCAUUCCGGCGGGAACCCUCGAAUAAUCAGUCCUGAACCACGCGUUUUGGAUUAACCGUUCAUUUCUUUCAUUCUUAAAACACUUUAAUUAACGUGGACAAAAUAAAGACCGUUGGGAUCAAGCAUUCUGGCGUAACCCUUUGAACAUUUGAUUCUCAUCAAGUGUUCGUUGUAGAGUAAAUAAUUUUCUUAAAUAAUUCAAAUGAAAAAGGACCAUUGGAAUCUAGCAUUCCGGUGGAACCCCGAGUGAUUGAUCCCGAGGCUCAUGUCUCGUUCUCAUCAAAUAUUCGUCAUUCACCUAAAAAUACUUAAUCUUUAUUAAAUAUUUUUCACCAAUAAAGAUGGAAAUGGAACAUGGUGUAUACCGUGCACUCCUGAGACUAGGAUUCGAGAUGGAUAUCUCGCUCAUCCAAGUUCUCGCCAUUACUCAAAAUACAUCCAACCAAUCAAACUCUUUUUCGCCGCCGUGCGACUAAUCAAAGAACCUUUUUCAUAAAUGAAAGAUAUAUUGUCUUAAGGUGAUGCAAAACAAUGUUUCGGCCACGAUUGUUGAGUCGAGAUAAGUGACACUUUUCCGAAUGUAGAUUUAUAAAUCCGUUUGAUGUGUGGUAUGCGUCCAUUCCUCAUCUGUUUUGGGUAAAACAAUGUUUUCAUCGAUUAAUACAAUAUAGCUUUCGCUAAAAUCGACCAACAAACAAACAUUUUUCUACCCGGAACUACGUAAGCCUUGAUUUCUCUUUUGAGACACGUAGGAGCAGGAUUUGUAAAUCUUGUCAGGCCCACUAAUAAAAAACUUAGGUUUAGUCCUUCGUCAAAAAUCCAAAAAUAUUUCUUCUCUCUUCUAUUCUUUCUCUCCCUCAUUGUAACUUAAGAAGACUAACAUAAGCUAACAUACAAAACGAAACUAACUAAACGGUUCCCGUUGAAUACAACGGACGUGAGGGGUGUUAAUAUCUUCCCCUUGCUUAACCGACUCCCGAACCUUGAUAUUGGUUGCGACGACCAUAAUCAUUGUCGUUUUGUCUUGGGUUUUAUCGAUAUUUCCUCUUUCCUUUUUAGGAAUAAAUAAAGUUCGGUGGCGACUAUGUUCAGUCCAUCAAUUGCGAGCAUGCGAUUGCGCUUCGCUUUAAAGUCGUAUCCCCAUUUUUCGAGGUGCGACAAAUAGCAAAUCCCCAAUCGUACUUCUGCAAUCGGUCCUUAUGUUGCUCUGUUCCGCUUCUUCGAAAUUCAGAGUUUCACAAUCGGUCGUUUAGCUACUUGGAAAUUAUCAUUUCCGCAAUCGGCAUUUCAAGGUAAAGUCAUGGUUUCUCUUUUCUAUGCUAAAUAUGGAAAUUUAUGGACAAACUUGUAAGGAUUUAUAAGAGUUGGAUUUUCUAAUAUCAUGCUUUAUGUAGAUCAAUUUUUAUAUAUUUUGUUUGAUUUUGUCAUUUGGUUGCUGUUUUUAUUUUUGAAAUCUAGGUAUUCUAAAUAUGUCUUGUAAAAAUUUGAGUUUAUAAAUAUACUUGAUGAUUUUCAACAUAGAAAAACAUUUGGGAUGAGCAGAGGUUUACUUAUAAAUGUCCUGUUAUUUAUUUACUGUAUAAAUUAUAUUAUGAUAUCAAACUAUAUACGUAUAAGUUGAAAUUUGGUUUAUGUCCAAAUAUAUAUAUGUUUCAUUGUCUUUACUUGUUUCUUAGUGUCUGGUGAUACUUUAAAUCCACUUCUAUAAAAUGGUCUAAACAAUUACAUUCAAGAAUUAACGAAAAAGUGAAAUCUGGAAACAUAAAUAUUUCAUGUUGUGCGAAUAGUUUGGACUUUUCGUUUUGUAGGUUGAAUGGAUGAUUGAAAUUUAAGAAUUGAGUGUUCUUACUUUUCAAUUUAUUUUUUUGGGUUAACAUAAGGUCCAUUACAUCCAAAAUACUUUCAGUCUGUGUUAACCUUUCAAUGAAACUUGAAAUUUUCCAACUAAUUUAUUCAUAUUUGCAUGCAUUGUUACUUAAUGAUUCUAAAUUGGAAUGCUUGCAGGUAAACUUAAUGAACUAUUCUUCACUUGGAAAUGGGUCCCUCUCUAGAUGGGCUAUAACUUUAAUGCCAGGUGGAAAGUUAUUUUCUAACACCAGUAGGAAAUGGGUCCUUCUUAUGUUGUAUGUAGAAGACAAUGUACUUAUUGGUAAUAUUGUUGGCAACAAUAAUCAUCUCUUUUAUCCUUAUUGCAUUUUUUGUUCUUGCUGUAUUCAUUUCCAGUAAUAUACUUGAUAGGUCCAUGAUGAUUAUUGAACAAUAUGAUUUACAUCAAUCAGAUUUCUUAUUAUUUAUUCAAUUCUAUCAUUUCAUUAUUGGUUAACCUACAUUUGGUUUCUAAAUGUAAUGUCUGUUAUGUAAUGUUACAUUUUAUCUAGGAAAAAUCAUAUAUAAUAUUAUAUAAAUUAUAAUUGUCAUACUUUAGCAUAAUUUGUCUAUUAUGUAAUGUUACAUUUUAAUAAUUUGUUAAUAAUAUCACAAGAAUAAAAAAGUUAAUUUGGCGUCAUACUUUGGGUGGAGAGGAAGGUCAAAGGAAAGUGUGUUAGGUUAGUUGGGAUUCGGUUUGCAGGAGCGAGAAUGAUGAAGGAUUAGACAUCAAACAUUGUGAUCUCUUCGGUCCCUUCUUAGUAAAUGGUUGCGGCAGAUCACUUAUGAUCCAUCUCCUCUUUGGAAAGAUUUAUUGUCCUUUAGAUAUGGUGAUAUGCAUUCCAAAAUUCUAAACCAAUCUUUUAGGGUUUGGAAUAAGAAAGAUGCGAUUUGAUGGAUGAAUCUGCAGAUCAUUACUCACCUAGAUUGUAAUCUGUUCUCUUAACACAUUAGUUGCAAAUUGAGAAAUGAGAAAAUGAUAUGCUUUUUGUCUUGUGUGUGUUAGUUAUUUCGGUUGGGGUCAAAACAUUGUAAUCUUCAAGACGAAGUAGGUUGUUGCUUGGGACUGCUUAGAAAGAAUCAAGAGAAUUAGUUGAGAGUUAUAUCAAGUUUAUUUUAGAAAUUCCAUUUGUUGAGAUGGGAAGGUUGGAUGGUUGAUCCAACUAAAUGUAUCUUUUAUUCUUUUGUUGGGUUUUUGUUAGAGCUAUUUAGAGUUUGUGUGUCCUCCUUGUAUCAAGGGUUGAGUAUCCCUUAUUAUUUCUCAUAAUACAAAUUUGCUUAUAUUAAAAAAAACAAUCUAUCUGUGAGCGCCUAUUAGCACUCUAAUCACUACUAGUACUACAAAACACCGAUAUUAUAAAUUUUUAAUCACGACUUUAAAUAAACUAAACCUUAACAUAAAAUUUCUAUUUUAUUUUCUUUUAAUUUAAUUAUUUUUUCAAUCUUUAAAUGCAUAUGCAAACAUUUAUCAAAAUUAUAUAGCUUAACAAUUUGAAGUAAAAUGUAGAAGUGGAACAAAUAUUUACGCUACACAAUUAUAUAUUGCCUAUUUUAUUUUUUACUUUUUAUAUAUUGUCUUUAUUCAAUAAAAUAACUCAUUACAAUUAUAAAGUGAAGCAGAGCGAGUCCAAUCAAUAUUGAGGCCUGAGACGAGUUUUUUAAUAAGUUCGAUUCAAUAAUUUUUUUUUAAGUUGUGAAUCUCUAUAUUUAAAUUUGCUAGUAGACAUUACUAUAAAACAAGAACUUCAAUCAACACAAAAUUGAAAUACAAAAUUAAAAUUAAUUUAAAAAAUUUAGAUAAAUAAAAUCAGAUUUAUUUUUUGUGAUACUCAUUUUAUUUUACUUCCACUAUUGUUUUACAUUUCUUUGUCUUUGUAUUUGUAAAAUAAGAUAUUCACGACACAAGUUUAAAAAUAUUAAAAAAAGGAAAAUAUAAUAAAAAAAAUAAAAAAUGAUGAUAGGUGUAAGUGAGAUUAAUAUAUGUAUUGGAAACUCAAAUAAAAAAGUAAGCAAGAAAAAAUGAGAGAUAUUGUAUUAUCAUAUUUAUUAUAUACAAAUAUUUAUUAUUUAUUAGCAUUAACCAUUACUAGUAAGAUUGUUUAGGAAAUAACCAAUAUAUUCAAUGAUCUUAAUAAAUAAUAAUAAUAAUAAAUUCAGUAUUAUGUUCCCUCUAUAAAAAUAAAGAAAAAAAUUGAGGCCCUAAGCCACGGCCUAGUUGCUACUUUUCUUACCCUAAAUGAAUAAAGGUAGCAUUAUUUGCAUAACAACAUUAUGAUGUAAAACUAAAAUGAUAUACUUAAAAAGAAACAUCCAAAUAAUUCUUAACAUUGUUAUGCUUACACACAUUCACAAUAAUUCAAUUCGCAUCGUCUUCCUCGUGGAGGGAAGCACAUAUCUUUUGGACAAUCUUUAUAUGUUACACAAGGAAUGAAAGCUGAGAUGUCAAACAAAAUCAAAAACCAUAUUAUAUUUCAGUUAUUUGUUAAAAAAGAUAUAAAUUUUAUCAUAAAGUAUAUUAUUUAUAGUAAUAAUUAUCAUAUAUAUUGAAUAUAAAAAAUAUCAUGGAUAACAUUAAAAAAAUGAAAAUACUGUGUAAAAUAACUUACAUCCUAUAGGAUCACUUCUCUCUGUAAAAGCAAAAGAAAUUUUAUUAAAAGGUGAUGAAAUAUUGUGCUUAAAAAAUAAAAAAUAAAAAUUAAAUGCCGUCAUUAAUUGACUUACUACUAGUUACAAUAAUAAGUAGAGAAAGAAAAAUGAUCAAAAUAUAAAAGAAUUUGAGAAUUUGAGCCAUAUUUUUCCUGCGUAUAACUAAAAGAAAAUUGUCUUAUAACUUUUUAGAUUACAAGCUUCGUGUUUUGUUGGUUUUAAAUAUACUAGUAUUAAUUACCACAUAAGAGUUGUAAGAAACCAUUUUAAAAAUGGAAUUAUUUGCUAAAUGCCUCUAUGGUACAUCCAUAUGUUGUGUUUAUCUCUUUAAAUUGGCAAUUUUUUUAUUUAACUUUUAAUAUACUUUUUCUACUUAACCUUUCAU